CCUACGGGGGGCAGCAGUGAGGAAUAUUGGUCAAUGGGCGGGAGCCUGAACCAGCCAAGUCGCGUGAGGGAAGACGGUCCUAUGGAUUGUAAACCUCUUUAGGCGGGGAGCAAUGCCGGGCACGCGUGCCCGGAGGGAGAGUACCCGCAGAAUAAGCAUCGGCUAACUCCGUGCCAGCAGCCGCGGUAAUACGGAGGAUGCGAGCGUUAUCCGGUGUUAUUGGGUUUAAGGGGUGCGUGGGCGGGAUGCCAAGUCAGCGGUAAAAAUGCGGUGCUCAACGCCGUCGAGCCGUUGAAACUGGCGUUCUUGAGUGGGCGAGAAGUAUGCGGAAUGCGUGGUGUAGCGGUGAAAUGCAUAGAUAUCACGCAGAACUCCGAUUGCGAAGGCAGCAUACCGGCGCCCUACUGACGCUGAGGCACGAAAGCGUGGGUAUCGAACAGGAUUAGAUACCCCGGUAGUC
rnacentral:rRNA from 1 species